CGCGGACAGUGCCUGGUGGGUAGUUUGACUGGGGCGGUCUCCUCCCAAAGAGUAACGGAGGAGCACGAAGGUUGGCUAAUCCUGGUCGGACAUCAGGAGGUUAGUGCAAUGGCAUAAGCCAGCUUAACUGCGAGACGGACAGGUCGAGCAGGUACGAAAGUAGGUCAUAGUGAUCCGGUGGUUCUGAAUGGAAGGGCCAUCGCUCAACGGAUAAAAGGUACUCCGGGGAUAACAGGCUGAUACCGCCCAAGAGUUCAUAUCGACGGCGGUGUUUGGCACCUCGAUGUCGGCUCAUCACAUCCUGGGGCUGAAGUCGGUCCCAAGGGUAUGGCUGUUCGCCAUUUAAAGUGGUACGCGAGCUGGGUUCAGAACGUCGUGAGACAGUUCGGUCCCUAUCUGCCGUGGGCGUUGGAUGAUUGAAGGGAGUUGCUCCUAGUACGAGAGGACCGGAGUGAACGAACCUCUGGUGUUCGGGUUGUCACGCCAGUGGCACUGCCCGGUAGCUAAGUUCGGAAUCGAUAACCGCUGAAAGCAUCUAAGCGGGAAGCGAGCCCUGAGAUGAGUCAUCCCUGACCCCUUGAGGGUCCUAAAGGGCCGUUGGAGACCACAACGUUGAUAGGUGGGGUGUGUAAGCGUAGCGAUACGUUGAGCUAACCCAUACUAAUUACCCGUGAGGCUUAACCAUACAACACCCAAGAAGUGUU
rnacentral:rRNA from 1 species